UCGGGAAUUUUGGGCAAUGGGCGAAAGCCUGACCCAGCAACGCCGCGUGAAGGAUGAGGUAUUUCGGUAUGUAAACUUCGUAAGAAUAGGAAGAAUAAAUGACGGUGCUAUUUGUAAGGUCCGGCUAACUACGUGCCAGCAGCCGCGGUAAUACGUAGGGACCAAGCGUUGUUCGGAUUUACUGGGCGUAAAGGGCGCGUAGGCGGCGUGGUAAGUCAGCUGUGAAAUCUCCGAGCUUAACUCGGAACGGUCAGCUGAUACUGCUGUGCUAGAGUACAGAAAGGGCAAUCGGAAUUCUUGGUGUAGCGGUGAAAUGCGUAGAUAUCAAGAGGAACACCUGAGGCGAAGGCGGGUUGCUAGGCUGAUACUGACGCUGAGGCGCGAAAGCUAGGGUAGCAAACGGGAUUAGAUACCCCGGUAGUCCUAGCCCUAAACGAUGAAUGCUUGGUGUCUGGAGUUUUAAAUCUCCGGGUGCCGUCGCUAACGCUUUAGCAUUCCGCCUGGGGA
rnacentral:rRNA from 1 species